UCAACAGAGGGAUGCAAAACCGUGAGGUGGAGCGAACCCCUAAAAGCCGUCCCAGUUCAGAUCGCAGUCUGCAACCCGACUGCGUGAAGUCGGAAUCGCUAGUAAUCGCGGAUCAGCAUGCCGCGGUGAAUACGUUCCCGGGCCUUGUACACACCGCCCGUCACACCAUGAGAGUUGGGAACACCCGAAGUCCGUAGCCUAACCGCAAGGGAGGAGCUGCCGAAGGCGGGGCCGGUAACUGGGGUGAAGUCGUAACAAGGUAAC
rnacentral:rRNA from 1 species